CCAGUAUUUAAAGAGUAGCCUGGUAGAGCUUCCGGCUGUAGACCGGAGUGUCGCUGGUUCAAAUCCAGCCCGCGGGA
rnacentral:tRNA from 1 species